rnacentral:tRNA from 1 species
GGUCGCUUAGCUCAGUUGGUAGAGCAUUUCAUUGACGUUGAAAGGGUCAGAGGUUCGAAUCCUCUAGCGACCA